CAGGUAAAAGUUUAAAAAAAAUAAAAGCUUUGGGAGCUUUAGAUCAGGGAUCCCUCUGUUACCUGA
rnacentral:tRNA from 1 species